rnacentral:lncRNA from 11 species
AUAAAAUCUCCAAAAGGUUACGGAAAAUUCCAUUUUCUAAAACUUUGCUCAUUCCCGACCGUCUUCUUUAGAUGCCUAAUCUGUCUUUCUAGAUCCUCAAGUGCUAACCUUUUCUUUUCUUUUCUUCUUUCCUUCCUGCAGAGCCAGCUCUCUCAAGCCCUGAACGGCCUCUCCGACCGAGCCAAGGAAGCCAAAGAAUUCCUGGUGCAGCUACGGAAUAUGGUGCAGCAGAUCCAGGAGAAUAGCGUGGAGUUUGAGGCCUGCCUUGUUGCUCAGUGCGAUGCGUUGAUCGAUGCUCUCAACAGGAGGAAAGCCCAGCUGCUCUCCCGGGUCAACAAGGAACACGAGCACAAGCUGAAGGUGAGUCGGAGCUGCUCUCAAGUUUGGCACCUUCCAGAGUUAUUGUACAGCAGUUCCCAGAAUCCUGAGCAACAUUUGGAGGAAUGUCUUCUGUUUAUUAAAUCCAUUUUCUGUUUAUUAAAUCCAUUAUUAAAUCCAUUACCGGUGGAACAGUGCAAGAAAAUGCAAGGUAUUUUUGUUUCCUUUGCAGGUAUUUUUGUUUCCUUUCCCCACCAACAUACACUGAUAAUGGAAUAAAAAUAGAAUUUAGCAAAGAAAUAUUCAUGUCCUACUGCAGUAUUAAGGAACAUUACAGUACAUUUAGCCCUCCAUGUUUGCAGGUUUAUCUUUGGCGGAUUUGACUAUGUUCUUUCUGGAAAUCCUCCCGUGUAACUUUACUUUUUGCAGACUUGAGUGACAUAUGUCCUUUCAAAGAAUUUCACAGAGCAAUGGUAACAGAUUCCUGGAGAAAAUACUUCAGUGCAAGAUAAUGAUGCUGUAAAACAACGAGCAUAAUAGACUUUCAUUGAAUUAUUUUCUCAAGGAACUUGUUGCCAUCCUGAGACUAGCAGUGCAUCUACACUGUAGAAUUAAUGCAGUUUGGCACCACUUUAACCACCAUAGCUUAAUGUUAUGGAAUCCUGGCUUGGCAGAUAAGGUGGCAUCAAACUGCAUUGAUUUUACAGUAUAAAUGAACCUCCAAUGGUCUAAUUUUGCGAGUUAUUUUCUUUUUGUACAAUUUUG